GCCUGGGUGGCUCAGUCGGUUGAGCAUCUGACUUCGGCUCAGGUCACGAUCUCAAGGUCCGUGAGUUCGAGCCCCACGUCAGGCU
rfam:Felis catus breed Abyssinian Contig264784.1, whole genome shotgun sequence. [26-MAY-2016]